UAUUAAAAAUUUGAUCCAUUUCUAUUGCUAAAAACUGGCAUGGCUGAUAGAAUAACCAAACAAAUGACACAUGGCAUGCCACAUGUACUUCAUGCUGAUAUAUAAGGACCAGUUUUUAACAAUAGAAAUGAAUGAAAUUUUUAACA
rfam:Gossypium hirsutum cultivar TM-1 chromosome 20, whole genome shotgun sequence